AUUUAUCAAAGACACGUCUCCUAAUUAGGAGAAGCAAGGAACGUCUCUUGUGAGACAGGUGUCCAAGUUUGCAGCAGUUUCGUCUCUUUCUCUCCGUGCCUCUCUUCUCUGCUUUCUCUCUUUCUCUUUCUCUCGACGGUGAAUUCUCUUCACAUCAGAUGGCUCUCUGAUUUCUUUCUCUCUUGGUGGCUGUUGUACCUCAUCUCUUCUUCCUCCGUUCUGUUCCGUUCUCCACAAAAAAGAUCCUCGAUUCCGAUCCAUCACCUCUGACUUUAUCAGCGAUUGAAUGGACUCCAUCUCUCCGCUUUCUAAUCAUCAGACGGCAACGAGCUCGAGCUCCGAUCUCUCUCGCCGUAAGCGUAAGAAGAAAUCUCCACCGUCUCCGCCUCCAUCGUUAGAGAAAUGGAGAUCGGAGAAGCACCCACAGAGCGUUAGCCAUCGUUGGAGAAUGGGGUGAUCACGUUACCCUUCAGGCUGCUGCGGAUUGGGUCAGAACAGAAGCUUGUGAAGGAUGGUUUCAUCAUCAGGAAACCAACCAAGAUCCACUCGCCUGAAGAAAUACUAAGAGUCAAAGAAGAUUGACAAGUACAUGUACCAUGAUAUGUACAUGUGUGUUAAGCUAUGUGAGGUUUCAUCUUUGAUUGAAAAAAAAACUAUAUAACUAAACCCAUCUUACAAGAAGCUUGACACGGCACAUGUAGCAGAUGGUGACGAGUUUGAUCAGGUGGCUCGUGCUUCGGCGUUUAGCGUGGGUCUCCUCUACGGGAGCAUGAAGCUCAAGGUCUUGAAGGUAACAACACACUUUCGAUUUGUGAUUUUGUAAUUGUGGAUGUCUUUUAUAAAACCUAAAGAAGAUCUUUUGUGUACACCUUUCAGAAAUUUUCUCUGGCUUGUUUCAACAUCAUGUAUUCAUGUUGCAAAAGGUUUCCUGUUGUUUGCUCAUCUUUGCUUGUAAUGUUUGCAUUCGUUUACAAUGUUAUUCAUUUUCUGAAAACUAGUUUCAUAAUGUUGGCUUUA